UACGUAGGGUCCGAGCGUUGUCCGGAAUUACUGGGCGUAAAGAGCUUGUAGGCGGUUUGUCGCGUCGUUCGUGAAAACUUGGGGCUUAACUCCAAGCGUGCGGGCGAUACGGGCAGACUUGAGUACUACAGGGGAGACUGGAAUUCCUGGUGUAGCGGUGAAAUGCGCAGAUAUCAGGAGGAACACCGGUGGCGAAGGCGGGUCCCUGGACAACUCCUGACGCUGAGGCACGAAAGCUAGGGGAGCAAACAGG
rnacentral:rRNA from 1 species